rnacentral:lncRNA from 1 species
GUGAAGUUCACGCUGUUAAGUUCCACCUCUGCAAGGCGGGAGGCAAGGCUGGCAGACAGUGUGUCCCAAGCGUCCUUCCUACUGGAAGCACGUGUCCCGGCAGCACAGGAUGGAGCAGAGACCAACCCCGUCUCCCUGUGGAGCCUAUCAGAAUCUCCCAGGGAGGGGUUGCAAACUCUCACCCUCCUACCCUGCCAUCACCAAGCAAGCUCCGUGAGCUCAGGGCCCUGGUCCACCCCCAUCAAGCUGUCCCCACGCCCUUGGCACAGUGUCUCCCGCUGGGCACAAAGCAGGAGCCUGAGGAGCACGUGGGCGAGAGCCCCCUCGCGGUGGGGUGGUGGCGGUGAGUUGAGCACCACAGGCGGCACCACACCGCACAGGCUUGGACCCAGGAACAGCCUGGAGAACGAACGUGGAGGAGAGAUGGAUGCAGGUACGGAAAGAAAAUGGACGGGGAUUUGUGAAGAGGAGACCCCGAAGGUGCGGGAGAAGGAGGAGACGGGAAGGACCACAGUCCCUGCCGACGGGAAGGAGCGAGCGAUGGAAAUAAGGUCAUUCUAACUCAGUCUGUGACCACGGAUCUAUGGCUGUAAGACUUCCCAGAAGUGCAGAAAAAAUUUCACAACUGAAAAUUACUUCUCUGAAUGGAGAUCCAUGUGGAAGGAACACAGAUCUGGGAACAUAAUAAACAGGAAACGUGGGAGUUCUCUGUGCUCCCA